rnacentral:rRNA from 1 species
UACGAAGGGGGCUAGCGUUGCUCGGAUUUACUGGGCGUAAAGGGCGCGUAGGCGGUUCUUACAGUCAGACGUGAAAUUCCUGGGCUCAACCUGGGGGCUGCGUUUGAUACGUGCGGACUUGAGUGCGGAAGAGGGUCGUGGAAUUCCCAGUGUAGAGGUGAAAUUCGUAGAUAUUGGGAAGAACACCGGUGGCGAAGGCGGCGACCUGGUCCGAUACUGACGCUGAGGCGCGAAAGCGUGGGGAGCAAACAGG